UACAGAGGGUGCAAGCGUUAAUCGGAAUUACUGGGCGUAAAGCGCGCGUAGGUGGUUUGUUAAGUUGGAUGUGAAAUCCCCGGGCUCAACCUGGGAACUGCAUUCAAAACUGACAAGCUAGAGUAUGGUAGAGGGUGGUGGAAUUUCCUGUGUAGCGGUGAAAUGCGUAGAUAUAGGAAGGAACACCAGUGGCGAAGGCGACCACCUGGACUGAUACUGACACUGAGGUGCGAAAGCGUGGGGAGCAAACAGG
rnacentral:rRNA from 3 species